GAUCGACCGCGUUCAUUUCCGUUCUCUGCUAACUCAGCUAUCACGGAAACAGAAGUUUCGUCGGACGUACAACUUUCGCGACAGUUUCGUUUUUCUUUCUAAUUUCUUUUCUCGUCGCCGUACCUUGAAAUCGCCACAAAUUUCAGCUUCCACGCCGGUUGAACGAGAGACAAACUUUUAUACGACGUAACGUAGGUGUCGUAGAGAUGCACAGACGAAGAUCGUCAGUGUGCGAGGGUAAUUAAUUUCUCCUGUAAUUCGUCAAAAGCCGAAUACAUUCGCGUUGGCUAACCAACUAAACGAUAAAAAGCGUCGACUCAGCGUUCACUCUGACGAUGAACGGGAAUGUUUUUCCCGAAGGGAUUCUAACGAUGGUACCUUCCCGAUCCUCCAAUCUCCAGGUAUGAUUUUCAAACUUGUUUCAAAUUUUACUCUUACGUAUGCUCGCGACGGUCGUGUCUCGUUAAAGAAAUUUCAAACAGUUUCGUACAACGCGUAUAAUAUAUCCAUGACAAAAAUUCUGUCGUGCGAAUACCUUGUUCUUCGUCCGGAUGAUCCAACGUUCGUUCGCAAUAUCUCGUUCGAAUCGCGAGGGUUUACACGAAACGUUGUUGUUUAUACGCACGAUUGAGAACUGGAUCUAUCGACGUUGAAUCGAAGAAAGUUUCGCGAUUUGCUAGCAUCGGCCAUACCCUGAAAACGUUUCCUCGUUUCGUUAAAUUCGACCAACAACUUGGUCCAAUUUAACUUCGUCUCCGGGUUCGAACGUACGGUCGAACGUUCCGUUUGUUUCGUUCGACCGCCAAGUCGUGAGUCGAGUAUCUUACGUCGGACCAUCGUGUCGCAACACGGAAAUUAGACCGUUCCUUCAGUCGAUUUCGCGUUCGAUUCCUCGUCCUCCAUAAACGAUACCGAUGCUGUUACAAGAUGCCAGUUUCGCUCCUCUCUUGAAAACAUCUCGAGAAGAAGAAGAAACUUUGCCUAUUGUGCUAGCCGUAAGCAGAAAGAAGUAUCCGUCUGGAUUAAAUAUUUUAAACUUCGUCGCUCCUGAACUUCAGAGAUUCUCGAGCCAAAUCAACGUGACGAGCAGUCGAUGGUGAAACCGGGAAACUCAGCUAUCGUCGACAAAUGGACACUACGUGUUGCUUGGAAACGGAAGUAGUAUACAGGAAGAACGUGGACACGAUGCGACGGUGGAAGGAAAAAGCGAUGCAGUAAGCGCUCAGACUGGGGAGACGUUUUUAUGAGACGACUAAACAGCUGUAAGCCCCGCGUUUCGCUCUUUUCUUUUUACAACCACUUUCCGCUUGACACUUUUGUGAUGCGUACAUAGCAUUCGCAAAGGAUUUAAUUCUUAACAUUUUAAGAACGAUUUUUCCGGUUUUACUGACACUUCUUUAAGAUUUUCGCACCCAGUGGUAUUAUCAGAGCUAUUAGUACGCUCUUCUAAUCUGGCUUUUUCUUUAAUAAAAUGUAUAAAAUA